AGAUGAAAGCAUAAAGGUGAAUGAUUCUUUAUUAAAGAAUUCAUUUAAAUUACUUUUCUUUGUAUCUUUGCUUUGUGUUUCUGUACUGCUCCAGUACUCCCGUGAACCAGGUCUGAGUGGAGUGAUGACGGCACCACAGUCCAGCCUGCGUGGGUGUUGGCCUGAGUGCUCCCGCCUCAUGAAAUUCAGCCCCCUCUUUCUCCAGUCAGUUCCAUCUUCUCAACUCCGACUGUCUUCCAGAAUCCGUGUCACACCACAGCCUGGAAACUCUCCCCAAGCAGUAACCUGAAGCAACAGUAAACCUUCAUUGUUUCGCCUCUCUCAGAUGUCACUGUCCUUCAUUGUUUGAUGUGCACUGUCUUGCAAUCCAUCCUUCCAGAUAAAUCAUCCAUUUUUACAUGUGAUAAGCCAUGUCCAAUCCCCAUAAGUUUUACCACAACAUUUUGUUUCAUUCUUCCUGCAGUUACUCCAUCAUUACUGUACCACCGCCUGUAUGGAUGUAGUUGUCAGUGUGAAGCUGAGUAAGGAACAACGUGCACCAGACUCGCAGAGAAAAAUGGACACGCGAGCUGGCCUUUGUAUCACUAAAGGGAAGGUUUGGAAUAAUUCAUCAGUGUAAUCUUCUCAACCUGGUCAAUCACAUGAACUUAGAAGAUGAUUCCUCCGCAGCUGAUCCUUCAGGUGAGACCUCAGCUUUGGCAAUCAUCUACAUCCAGAUUCCUGACCCAGAGAAACUGUGAGUAAUUUGUGUGUGCUUUUGAGCCACUAAGCUAUGUGGUAAUUGGCUAUGCUGCAAUAAACAAUAAUACACUUGAUGGUAAACAUAGUAUGUUAUCCUUGAUUAGAUC